UGUAAGCGUAUACCAAAGUUGUUGCAGUUAAAACGCUCGUAGUCGGAAUUUGGCAGUUCCGGAUGUGUGCACGUCGUGUGCGCACUUCGCGGGGAUUGCUUUUGUGGUCUUGCGUAGGAUGAGGCACUUUUAUUAGUGAACGUCCUCACGCAACCACUUUUUACUGUGAGAAAAUCAGAGUGCUCAAAGCAGGCAUUUGCCGUGAAUGUAUUAGCAUGGAAUAAUAGAAUAGGACUUGGUUCUAUUUUGUUGGUUUGUUGGGACUGAGUAAUGAUUAAGAGGGACAGUUGGGGGCAUUUGUAUUUCGGUGCUAGAGGUGAAAUUCUUAGAUUACCGAAAGACAAACUGCUGCGAAAGCGUCUGCCAAGGAUGUUUUCAUUGAC
rnacentral:rRNA from 1 species